UUCUUGGGUGAUUAUGCCAAGCAGGAAGAGGAAAACCAGUGGGAAAUUAAGAAGAUGAAGCACAAGAAGCAGAAGGAUUCUAGUAGCUGCGGCGUUUUGAUAUUGAUGUUUGCAAAGCACUAUCUGCUGUACAUUCCGGUGACACUGGUGGAGACAUCUUCUGAAUUUAUUAAAAAAGCAAGGAUGGACAUAGCUAGUUCUCUUCUCCUGUAUUCCAUGGAGAAAAUAGGAACAAGAAUUUCCUGGACUUGAAGGAUGCUAUAUGUCCUCCACUUGGAUAAACCUUGUGAUCUUCUCUUUUCUUGUAACUUCCUUUUGUAACUUCCUUCCCCUCAAAAGACCUGUUAGUCUGCCUUUAAAAUGUCCACCUCCACUCCAUUUAUUAUCCUAAAUUAGAUGCACC